UGUUUGUUUGGUAGACUUCUUGAGUUAUUUGCCUUGCUGUCCAUGUGGUUUCUACCGAAGAACAUUUGCUUUUGGACUUUUUUUGUGUGGUUCUUUUUUUAUUUCCUUAUUUUUUCUUUCUGCUUGGUUUUGAUUUUUAUGGUUUUCGUGUGUGUUUGCUUUGUUGCUUGGUUUCUUAAUGUUUGUUUUUGUUCAUGUUUGUUUUGGUUUUCUCUAGUUAUUAUUGCAGCACCCUUAACACAAGUAUCACUCUCACAUUCAGACUUAUCCGAAAAAUAAUGUUUAAUGUUUUAUUUUUAUUACAAAUAGUUUGACAAUAUACAAUUUGAUUUCAUAAUUUCUUCUUUUUAUCCAAGAGAGAGAAUAUUUGUUUGGCAUUUGAAGGAAGGAUUCUUGGCAGAAUUUUGUUGUCUUAAUUAUCGUCAUUUGAUGAAAAGAGAUCAACAAAUAUUUGCUUUGGAACCAUGUAACGUAUGCGUGUUGUCGUUAAGCAUACGAUCACAUUUCCGAGCAGAGCGGCUAACAUUUAAAAUUUUUUUAUAUAAAAAUACAAAUAAAUUGGAAUUGAAAAAAAAUGCAUCCAUUUACAGUCAAAAUAAAAAAAUAUUGUCGGAUUUCCUGCAUAGGUAAACAACAUUCGAUACGGAAGUAUUAUGGUGGAAGACCUUCUUUUUAAGAAAAGUCAUUAUUAUAACAAGUCAAAACCAUGUAAAUACUUGACUUAUGACCAAUUCUGCUACCCCCAAAUUUUUAAAAAGCGAAGGUUCCAUUACAAUAAAGGCAUGUUUAUGUUAGAACUUUUUUCGGGGUUAACCUUCUUUAUCAAGAUUUAUUUGUGGUAUAUUCAAAGGAAUUGACAACUUAAACCGACUGGGUUUUCUAAAUUCUCUACAGCGUAAACGUAUUGUAAGGCUCUUCCUAUAUUGAAUAUUUUUUUGAGAGUAAAAUUUUUGGACUGUAGGAAAGUUCAAAAAUUCUUUAUGGAAGCUAAGCUAUUUGAAAUUCAGAAGGUUGAACAAAAUAUUAAAAAAAUAGCAACUUAUGAACCAAGAGAGGCUUAAAAAUAUUUCAAAAAUCCAUGUCUUUCGAAAUAUAUAGUGGUUUAAAAAAUUCCCGAUUUGUGCUUUACAUAUUGGCCCAAAUGUUCUAAAUAUUUAUACAAUUUAUGAAAAUUGGGUUCAUUUACUUUUAUAAUGGCGAAACUUUUCAAAGAAAUAUACCCAGGAGGAGCGACAUUGCCCACAAAAAAAAAAAAAAAAAACGCGAACAUUAGCAACACUCUUGUACCUUUUACCCUGCCAGAUUUGUGGAUUGCAAAGGAAUGCCACAUUUUUUUAACUCAAACUUGGCUAAAAUUUUUACACCUUUUUUUGCAAUUAAAGUGACACGUAAAGGUUAAGGUUGACAAUAGCAUAAGUUAUUUUAACCGCCGUCAGUUAUUUAUUUAUGUGCGUUGAGAGAAUAUUUUAGUUAUUUUAUUUCUACUCAUUUCUUCUUUUACAGUUUGGGAUAAUAGUUAAGGAAAAAACUGUAUUUUUUUGUUUCAAAAAACAACCUGUAUGUGCAAGAAAACGCUUGAAUAGCAUUACUUACACAAACGCCGUGGACCCUUUGCUCAUGUGCGUUGAGAAAAUUGAUAUUUUCACACGCCAUUUUGAUCAUAAUAUGCAUGAAAUAUUUAUAAGAGAGAAAAAGAGAAUAAUGAGCUUAAACAAACAGAGAGCGCUUUAUUCCUCCUUGCCUAAAAUCUUUACUAGUUAAGUGUAUGUGCAAGAAAUCACUACAAUGGCAUCACUUGUUGCAGGCCGUUCACAUUCGGCGCAAAAAGGCAACAAAUAUAUGGGGCCGGGUUUUUUGGCAAAACCUGUCCACAACCACCGCAGAAAUUAUCCCAAUUCUGUUGGCAGUGCAUCCCAUAAUUGGUCCUCAAAUGGAUUUGCUCAGUUUUCUUGGGUUUUUAGUGAGGAUGGUGAGGAUGCUUCGAGAUUUCAAUUUGCUUGUAAUUUCUGCGGGGUGUGUAGUCUGGGUGGCGAUGGGAUCAAAAUGCCGGAAAUGGUUUGUUAGGGUUCGCUACGUACGAAAUUAGGCUCGAACAGGGUUGAGUAAAAGAGUAUUAUAAAGGUAGUGAAUGACAGGGUGACUCAGGCUAAGAAGUGACUAGGCAGCCCUAUGAUUGCUGAGUAGGUGGGAACCUACUAUAAAUAUGAUCAAAAUUUGUUUAGACACAAUUUGAAUGAAUGAUUAUGAAAAAAAAAAAAAAAAAAAAAGCGGCACGUUGAAAUAAAAAUUUAAGAAAUAUCAGAAGAAUAGAAAAACAAAAGAUUUCGAGAGAAAUAUUAAAAUGUUUUUGCUGAUGUCUCGCUGCCGUAUAAGGUUAAAGGAAAUUGGCGUUGUUUGGGCGAGUUGGUAACGUAUGUGAAAAGGGUUGGGCGAAUAGUUAGACAGCCGUUGAUUUUUAAAUGAGAGACUCAGGGGUGAGGUGAAAUGAGAAUUCACAAUAGAAUAAAAAAUGGCUAUUGACAGUUGAAAAGAAAAAGGAAUGAAAAUUGAAAAUGGCUCAGGAAAAUGGUGUUUCGUGGAAAAUGAGCGUCUGGCGGGAUUCACUGAGAAGAGGGGUAUAAAAGGCUGCGAGCAUAAGAAAAGCCAAAGUUAAGAAUAAGACGUUACCGGUGAAACUUAGCUAGAGAGCAGUGCAGAAGUGGAAAAAUUUAAUUUGUGUGUUGCGAUUUUUUUUAUUGUGAAUAUUCCGGUGGUGUAUCAAGCUUUUUUGGAAGCACCGAAAAUUGUCCGGUUUUGGUCAGCACAACGGCGGGAAAUUGCCUUUUCUUUUUGGUAACGCAAGGUAGUGGCAAGUUGUCCACAGGAAAAAAAAAGCCAAAAAAAGUUACAUUGAGGGUGUGGGGAUUUGAAUUGUAAACUGGCCAGCUGCAACUUUGAGCUUUUUGCUGUGCCGGUUAUUGAUCCCGCCCAGAACGCCGGCAUUGUAAAAGGACCAGUCAACAAGUCCAGCUUCAUUUGAGGGUUUGCCUGGCGUUCAAAAUCUGUUUCCUCCGGAAAGAAGCGUAAACUGGAAGGAGAGAUAAGAAGAAUUAAUCAAUAACGUUAUAAAUCACUGCUCAGGUAAAAGGUGUCGUACCGUUGUGUUGUCCUUGAUAUAUUUAUAUAUAUGUGACGUCCAUAAAAUUUGCUGUCUCCUUUUUUGGAACUAAAAGAAAAGAAAAAAAAAAGAGUUAAUAAUCAUAAAUUUCGAGAAAAAAAAAUAUAAUAUUCAGUAUAAAGAUUUAGUAAUAAGAUAGGUUAUAGUUCUUAGGAUUUAAGUAAUAAUCAGUUUGUAAGGGAAAAAUACCGCGUUUAUUUUCAAAGGCUAGGAGGUGUUACAGUAAAAUUAUCUUGAGUCCUUGUGAUUCGAUCUGAUAGUUUAGGCCGUGGAAUUUUAGCGGCAAUUAGGCCGGUUAAGAGAGCUCUUUUAGGUGGCUAGUAAUUUCGUAUAGACGCGGAAUAUUGCGCGGGAAAAGCAAGGCAAAGGAUAAUAUAUUGGUUUCUACCGAGUAAUUAAAGCCAUAGAUUUAAGAAAGCCCGGUAUUAUUCUUAAUUUGUUUUUUUUUAUACCAUACAGUUUGUCAAUUUUAGUGUAAGAAAAAAAAUAGUAGAGAAAAAAAUUAAGAAAAUAUUUAAAGCUAACUUAUUUUUUUUAAUAAAAUUAAAAAUGAUUCUUUUGUAAACAGUA